rnacentral:rRNA from 1 species
AUACGUAGGGGGCGAGCGUUGUCCGGAAUGAUUGGGCGUAAAGGGCGCGUAGGCGGCCAGGUAAGUCUGGAGUGAAAGUCCUGUUCUUAAGCUGGGAAUUGCUUUGGAUACUGUUGGGCUUGAGUGUGGGAGAGGUAAGUGGAAUUCCCAGUGUAGAGGUGAAAUGCGUGGAGAUUCGGAGGAACACCAGUGGCGAAGGCGCGGUAGUGGAGUGUAACUUACGCUGUGGCGCGAAAAUGUGGGGAGCGAACAGGGUUUGAGACCCUGGGAGUCCACACGCUAAAAGAGAAAUACGAGGGGUAUGGGGGUUCUUCCCCUUCUGUACCGCAGUCAACACAAUAAGCAUUCCGCCUGGGGAGUACGGCCGCAAGAUUAAAACUUAAAGGAAUUGGCGGGG